CACCUCCUGUGCUGAACCUAGGAUUACCUCCUGUGCUAUGCCUGGGAUCACCUCCUGUGCUGAGUCUGGGAUCGCCUCCUGUGCUGAGCCUGACAUCGCCUCCUGUGCUGAGCCUGGGUUCAUCUGUGCUGAGCCUGACAUCACCUCCUGUGCUGAGUCUGGGAUCGCCUCCUGUGCUGAGCCUGGGUUCAUCUGUGCUGAGCCUGACAUCACCUCCUGUGCUGAGCCUGACA
rnacentral:lncRNA from 1 species